UUGUGUUGUUAGCUGCAUACACAGUUUUAGUUUCUGAUAAAACCCCAGCAGGUUAGGCUCUGGUUAAACAGCUUCUCCUGAAGGGAGGCCUUGUUAAGAAGAGACUGCUGUGGCCUUUUUCAAAAAUAGUUUCCUUUUUCCUCCCUCUUCCAGAAGCAGGAGGAGGUUUUUCUCUUUUUACUGUGAAAACUUGUUUCAGCUCCAGGAAGCAAAAUUCACAAAGUUUGGGGGCUCCUGAUAACUGCGUGGCCCCUGGAGUUUUUAUCUCUCAGAUUUAUCUACACCAAGCCUCCAGCAAUUGGUCAACAGAGUUCAGGCUUCUCUAUUAUGUCACUGCUUCCUGAGGAACUUGACUUCUUGGGUUCAUUUUAAAAAUAUAGAGAGCGAUCACCUAAAGAUCAGCAAAACCUGGAUGACUGGAUUCAGGUUGAAACUGACACUGUUGAUAACUGCCCUCCAAAACUGAACCAAUUUUUGCUGUAGCCUGAGGAUCUAAUUGACUCAUUGUGAUGAUUUUGGGCAAGUACUCAUACAGGAAGUUUUUUUCAGAAAAUGUAUCACCUUAUUGACUGUACUCAGGGCAGAACACUCCUUCCAACUUCAGUGCUUCCUCAAUUGGGGUCCAAUUUGUAAUGUCACCUCCAUGAAGAUUCAUGAUCUGGCAUUCUUCACGGUGGCAGAGGGGAUUUCUCUCUACUCUCUACAAGCUCCACUCUCCAUGCAUUUAUAAGUCUCUAGGCAUUUUUGCCUGAAAUAUAUCAUGGCAGCUCUAUCUUUACGAGGUGGCUAACGUUCAUAUGAAAAAAGAAACUUUUCCUACGAAGAAGACUUGAACCAAGUGUAUUCCUUUUUUACAAUGGAUGUUGAUUUUCUGGUAAAAAAGAAUAUUUCAUUUCAAAUGCUUUAAUAGGGUGGUCCAGAACACAGUCACCCCUAAUGAUUAUAUUUUGGGUGCUCCAAAUCUAAUACGCCUGUUUACCCUACCACAAGUUUAUUAUUAACUGGAUAUUUUUGUAUUAUUAGUUUUUUAACUUGCCAUGCAUAUUUUAAAAGCUGGGAGUCAUCUGCACUUACCCCUAACUAAGGUAGGGGAAAUUCCUGUAGGAUGGACCACCCAGAUGUUGCCCAGAGACCAUCUUUC